rnacentral:rRNA from 1 species
GUCGAACGAACUCUGGUAUUGAUUGGUGCUUGCAUCAUGAUUUACAUUUGAGUGAGUGGCGAACUGGUGAGUAACACGUGGGAAACCUGCCCAGAAGCGGGGGAUAACACCUGGAAACAGAUGCUAAUACCGCAUAACAACUUGGACCGCAUGGUCCGAGUUUGAAAGAUGGCUUCGGCUAUCACUUUUGGAUGGUCCCGCGGCGUAUUAGCUAGAUGGUGGGGUAACGGCUCACCAUGGCAAUGAUACGUAGCCGACCUGAGAGGGUAAUCGGCCACAUUGGGACUGAGACACGGCCCAAACUCCUACGGGAGGCAGCAGUAGGGAAUCUUCCACAAUGGACGAAAGUCUGAUGGAGCAACGCCGCGUGAGUGAAGAAGGGUUUCGGCUCGUAAAACUCUGUUGUUAAAGAAGAACAUAUCUGAGAGUAACUGUUCAGGUAUUGACGGUAUUUAACCAGAAAGCCACGGCUAACUACGUGCCAGCAGCCGCGGUAAUACGUAGGUGGCAAGCGUUGUCCGGAUUUAUUGGGCGUAAAGCGAGCGCAGGCGGUUUUUUAAGUCUGAUGUGAAAGCCUUCGGCUCAACCGAAGAAGUGCAUCGGAAACUGGGAAACUUGAGUGCAGAAGAGGACAGUGGAACUCCAUGUGUAGCGGUGAAAUGCGUAGAUAUAUGGAAGAACACCAGUGGCGAAGGCGGCUGUCUGGUCUGUAACUGACGCUGAGGCUCGAAAGUAUGGGUAGCAAACAGGAUUAGAUACCCUGGUAGUCCAUACCGUAAACGAUGAAUGCUAAGUGUUGGAGGGUUUCCGCCCUUCAGUGCUGCAGCUAACGCAUUAAGCAUUCCGCCUGGGGAGUACGGCCGCAAGGCUGAAACUCAAAGGAAUUGACGGGGGCCCGCACAAGCGGUGGAGCAUGUGGUUUAAUUCGAAGCUACGCGAAGAACCUUACCAGGUCUUGACAUACUAUGCAAAUCUAAGAGAUUAGACGUUCCCUUCGGGGACAUGGAUACAGGUGGUGCAUGGUUGUCGUCAGCUCGUGUCGUGAGAUGUUGGGUUAAGUCCCGCAACGAGCGCAACCCUUAUUAUCAGUUGCCAGCAUUAAGUUGGGCACUCUGGUGAGACUGCCGGUGACAAACCGGAGGAAGGUGGGGAUGACGUCAAAUCAUCAUGCCCCUUAUGACCUGGGCUACACACGUGCUACAAUGGAUGGUACAACGAGUUGCGAACUCGCGAGAGUAAGCUAAUCUCUUAAAGCCAUUCUCAGUUCGGAUUGUAGGCUGCAACUCGCCUACAUGAAGUCGGAAUCGCUAGUAAUCGCGGAUCAGCAUGCCGCGGUGAAUACGUUCCCGGGCCUUGUACACACCGCCCGUCACACCAUGAGAGUUUGUAACACCCAAAGUCGGUGGGGUAACCUUUUAGGA